GUGGGGAAUAUUGGACAAUGGGCGAAAGCCUGAUCCAGCCAUGCCGCGUGUGUGAAGAAGGUCUUCGGAUUGUAAAGCACUUUAAGUUGGGAGGAAGGGCAGUAAGUUAAUACCUUGCUGUUUUGACGUUACCGACAGAAUAAGCACCGGCUAACUUCGUGCCAGCAGCCGCGGUAAUACGAAGGGUGCAAGCGUUAAUCGGAAUUACUGGGCGUAAAGCGCGCGUAGGUGGUUUUGUAAGUUGGAGGUGACAUCCCCGGGCUCAACCUGUGAACUGCCUCACAAACUGCAUGACUAGAGUACGGUAGAGGGUAGUGGAAUUUCCUGUGUAGCGGUGAAAUGCGUAGAUAUAGGAAGGAACACCAGUGGCGAAGGCGACUACCUGGACUGAUACUGACACUGAGGUGCGAAAGCGUGGGGAGCAAACAGGAUUAGAUACCCCAGUAGUCC
rnacentral:rRNA from 1 species